rnacentral:rRNA from 1 species
AUGGCGAACGUCGGCGUGGGGACGAAGGUGGCCGCCGCCGCCGCCGGGCAGCCGAAGAAGAGGACGUUCCGCAAGUUCAGCUACCGCGGCGUGGACCUCGACGCGCUCCUCGACAUGUCCACCGACGACCUCGUCCAGCUCCUCCCCGCCCGCGGCCGCAGAAGGUUCCAGAGGGGGCUGAAGAGGAGGCCCUUGGCGCUCAUCAGGAAGCUGCGCAAGGCGAAAAGGGAGGCACCAGCCGGUGAGAAGCCAGCGCCUGUGAAGACUCAUGUGCGCAACAUGAUCAUCAUACCAGAGAUGAUAGGCAGCCAAAUUGCAGUGUACAAUGGAAAAACCUUCGUCGUAAAUGAGAUCAAGCCCGAGAUGAUUGGCCACUACCUCGCCGAGUUCUCCAUCAGCUACAAGCCCGUCAAGCACGGAAGGCCCGGUAUCGGCGCCACCCACUCCUCGAGGUUCAUUCCUCUCAAGUGA